rnacentral:rRNA from 2 species
CCAACAGGGAUUGCCCUAGUAACGGCGAGUGAAGCGGCAACAGCUCAAAUUUGAAAUCUGGCUCUUUCAGGGUCCGAGUUGUAAUUUGCAGAGGGCGCUUUGGCUUUGGCAGCGGUCCAAGUUCCUUGGAACAGGACGUCACAGAGGGUGAGAAUCCCGUACGUGGUCGCUAGCUAUUGCCGUGUAAAGCCCCUUCGACGAGUCGAGUUGUUUGGGAAUGCAGCUCUAAAUGGGAGGUAAAUUUCUUCUAAAGCUAAAUACUGGCCAGAGACCGAUAGCGCACAAGUAGAGUGAUCGAAAGAUGAAAAGCACUUUGGAAAGAGAGUCAAACAGCACGUGAAAUUGUUGAAAGGGAAGCGCUUGCAGCCAGACUUGCUUGCAGUUGCUCAUCCGGGCUUUUGCCCGGUGCACUCUUCUGCAGGCAGGCCAGCAUCAGUUUGGGCGGUGGGAUAAAGGUCUCUGUCACGUACCUCUCUUCGGGGAGGCCUUAUAGGGGAGACGACAUACCACCAGCCUGGACUGAGGUCCGCGCAUUCGCUAGGAUGCUGGCGUAAUGGCUGUAAGCGGCCCGUCUUGAAACACGGACCAAGGAGUCUAACAUCUAUGCGAGUGUUUGGGUGUCAAGCCCGAACGCGUAAUGAAAGUGAACGGAGGUGGGAACCCGCAAGGGUGCACCAUCGACCGAUCCUGAUGUCUUCGGAAGGAUUUGAGUAAGAGCAUGGCUGUUGGGACCCGAAAGAUGGUGAACUAUGCUUGAAUAGGGUGAAGCCAGAGGAAACUCUGGUGGAGGCUCGCAGCGGUUCUGACGUGCAAAUCGAUCGUCAAAUUUGGGCAUAGGGGCGAAAGACUAAUCGA